rnacentral:tmRNA from 1 species
GGGGAUGAUCGGCCUAGACAUAUAACCUGACUUUGAAUGUGCAAAGUGGAGUAUUCCAAAAUCUCCUUAAACUUAUGGAAACAAUUAAGUGCCAAAACCUUAAUUUCAAAAGCCAAGUCCAUUGUCUCGCCGUAUUUCGGCGGACAUGAGCUCGCUUUCGCUUACGCUUCGGCGUAAGUGACAUCUAUCUUCCCAACGUCCGAUAGGGAUACAUAGGUGUAAUACACUCGGAAUGCAGAGAGAAGCGGCUUCGAUUCUCUCCUAAGCUUGCGAAGCUCGGUGUAUCGACAUUUCGGUUGCUUUGAGCCGAUACACUUAAACUCCGCCUAAGGCGGAUAAGCACACCUAUACUUUGUAGAAACACUCAAGGCGUGUAUAUGCACGGCGGUUCGAUUCCGCCCAUCUCCAAUU